rnacentral:rRNA from 1 species
AGAGUUUGAUCCUGGCUCAGGAUGAACGCUGGCGGCGUGCCUAACACAUGCAAGUCGAACGAAGGUAUAUAUAGGAAGUCUUCGGAUGGAAUAUGUAUAACUUAGUGGCGGACGGGUGAGUAACGCGUAAGUAAUCAACCUGUGACACACGGAUAACUGAUAGAAAUGUCAGCUAAUACGAGAUGAACUGUUUAAAUUGGGAAAUGGAAACAGCAAAGCGAAAGCGGUCACAGACGAGCUUGCGUCUGAUUAGCUAGUUGGUGGGGUAAGAGCCUACCAAGGCGACGAUCAGUAGCCGGCCUGAGAGGGUGAACGGCCACAUUGGAACUGAGACACGGUCCAAACUCCUACGGGAGGCAGCAGUGGGGGAUAUUGCACAAUGGGGGGAACCCUGAUGCAGCGACGCCGCGUGAGUGAAGAAGUAUUUCGGUAUGUAAAGCUCUAUCAGCAGGGAAGAAAAUGACGGUACCUGACUAAGAAGCCCCGGCUAACUACGUGCCAGCAGCCGCGGUAAUACGUAGGGGGCAAGCGUUAUCCGGAAUUACUGGGCGUAAAGGGUGCGUAGGCGGCUAGUUAAGUCGAGGUUAAAAGGCAGUAGCUCAACUACUGUUGGGCCUUGAAACUAAUUAGCUUGAGUAUAGGAGAGGAAAGUGGAAUUCCCGGUGUAGCGGUGAAAUGCGUAGAUAUCGGGAGGAAUACCGGUGGCGAAGGCGACUUUCUGGACUAUAACUGACGCUGAGGCACGAAAGCGUGGGUAGCAAACAGGAUUAGAUACCCUGGUAGUCCACGCCGUAAAC